UGUGCUCUCUUCAACAGCACGUAUACUAAUGAAAAAGGCUGGAAUGGUACAGAGAAAAUUAGUAUGGCCCUUGUACAAGGAUGACAUUCAAAUUCAUAAAAUGUUCCCUAAAAGU
ensembl:snRNA Gm22503 predicted gene, 22503